ACUCCUACGGGAGGCAGCAGUGGGGAAUAUUGCACAAUGGGCGCAAGCCUGAUGCAGCCAUGCCGCGUGUAUGAAGAAGGCCUUCGGGUUGUAAAGUACUUUCAGCAGUGAGGAAGGUGGAGUUCAGUUAAUAGCGCUUCAUUUUGACGUUUAGCUGCAGAAGAAGCACCGGCUAACUCCGUGCCAGCAGCCGCGGUAAUACGGAGGGUGCGAGCGUUAAUCGGAAUUACUGGGCGUAAAGCGCAUGCAGGUGGUUUGUUAAGUCAGAUGUGAAAGCCCGGGGCUCAACCUCGGAAUUGCAUUUGAAACUGGCAAGACUAGAGUACUGUAGAGGGGGGUAGAAUUUCAGGUGUAGCGGUGAAAUGCGUAGAGAUCUGAAGGAAUACCGGUGGCGAAGGCGGCCCCCUGGACAGAUACUGACACUCAGAUGCGAAAGCGUGGGGAGCAAACAGGAUUAGAUACCCUGGUAGGAUAGCGU
rnacentral:rRNA from 1 species